rnacentral:lncRNA from 1 species
GCCUUGUUGUGUGGGAUUUGGGGGUUCCUAGUCUGGUAGCAGUACUAGUAUUUACAAAUUUGUAACCUAAGAACUAAGCCUGCAUCUUGUUACUUCUAUGGAAGCACUGACCUCGUAAUUUUUUUACCAACCACUGACCUAAGAAUUAGACAUGGUGCUCAGUGUAUUCUCUCAACCUUGGUUGUUCUGGCAGUGCUUAUAAGCUUGACAUCUUUGAUGAAUCCAGCCCGAACUGAAGCCUGUCGGCGAGUCGGGCGUUGGGCCAACCGCUGUCGUCUGUCUACCUCCUUCCCCGGUGAGCCCAUGCUCUUCUGCACUUGAUGCUUGAGCCGCCUGCACUUCUUUUCUCUGUUCAAAAAUUCCGAAAGCAUCAGUACUUUGUAUUAGAAUACACCAUGUUAGUUAUGCAAAUUUCCAUUAUGCUUGUAUGUCCAAAAAUGUGUACAGUUACUGCUUUUGACUUCUUUUAGUGCAGAGAAGUUACCCUGUCAUGGGCUGACCUCGAGGCUCCUUCUCCACGUCGACACAAUUGCAGGACUAACGUGCUACUGACCACACAAGCUUCCUCAAGGAGCUCGUGUACAACGAUACUAAAAGGAAAAACUGCUUCAGUUUUGAACUUCUUAUUCAGUCAUGCUAUUACUGAGUGAAAAUGGAGUGAAAGUGUAUUGCAAUUGAUCUAUCUUAGACCUUGGCAAUCCUCUAUUUAGCCUGCUUGUUUUUUGGUCUGUAAUUCAAGAACUUUGAGCUUCGUAAUUCGGUUUUUUGUUAAUUUCUUAUGCCCAGUACAAACCGUUAAAUCUGAAGAGGCUUCUAAUAGCAAGAAAAUGUACAAUCAGUGUGUUGUAUAUGCCAUUCAUGUAUGAAAAAUGUGCAGUCGG